UUGCCCUCUCGGAGCUUGGCGUGCUCCGUGGAGUCAACACGGGGGGAUAGAACAGCUCGUUCUCACUAAAACCCAGUGCGGAGCCCUCCUCUCUGCCCUGUAUCCUGUCGUGAGACACAAAU